GAUCCCCGGCCUAAGGUCGCCUGGCCGCUCUGUUUCUCGCUUCUGCCGGUUCCUUGAGGUGAACACGCCCGCAGACCUCGAGUGGCCGGCCGAGACGGUGCUGCGCAGCAGAUUCAUUGUCGCGAAUGCCUAGUGGACCUCGCCGUCGAACCAGCAGCCCGCCGGGUUGUGCAAUUCUAGGGUCUAAACUUGAAGUGGGGAGCAGGUGGAUGCAGGAGAACUAAAGUUGCAGCAAGAAGUGAUCACCUCAGUGUCCUUGGUGGAGGAGGACACAGCUGUGCCUGUGUGUAUACUCAAAGCUGACACAGAAUCACAAUUGCAAACACAGUGCAGUUUGUGAAUUGAAGGUCUAAAAUCGUACAGAAUUUUUGUCAGAAAAAGGCAGACUUAAAUUUCCAAUCCAAACUAGAGCAUUAACGUACAUCUCAAGGAACAUCAGAAAAAUGACAGAGAAAUAAAUACAGACAUUUACACGGGGUAACUGUGGCA
rnacentral:lncRNA from 1 species